rnacentral:rRNA from 1 species
AAGUCUACAUAUGGUGACAGCGGCUAGUCAUUGCUGGAACGCGCUUCGCGCACCCAGAAACCCUUUGUGAACUUAUACCUUACUGUUGCCUCGGCGCAGGCCGGCCUCUUAGCUGAGGCCCCCCGGAGACGGGGAGCAGCCCGCCGGCGGCCAACCAAACUCUUGUUUCUACAGUGAAUCUCUGAGUAAAAAACAUAAAUGAAUCAAAACUUUCAACAACGGAUCUCUUGGUUCUGGCAUCGAUGAAGAACGCAGCGAAAUGCGAUAAGUAAUGUGAAUUGCAGAAUUCAGUGAAUCAUCGAAUCUUUGAACGCACAUUGCGCCCUCUGGUAUUCCGGAGGGCAUGCCUGUUCGAGCGGAAGGGGCAACCCUCAAGCCUGGCUUGGUGUUGGGGCACUGCCUGUAAAAGGGCAGGCCCUGAAAUCUAGUGGCGAGCUCGCUAGGACCCCGAGCGUAGUAGUUAUAUCUCGUUCUGGAAAGCCCUGGCGGUGCCCUGCCGUUAAACCCCCAACUUCUGAAAUUUUGACCUCGGAUCAGGUAGGAAUACCCGCUGAACUUAAGCAUAUCAAUAAGGCGGAAGGAA